AUGCACAUUUAAAAUAGAAGGAAUCUUCAAACACCCAAUGACAGCACACACACGAUCAAUCAUAUUAAUGUGUGAAAUACUUCGAGCACAGGAAUGUUAACACGUUCACAAAUUAGUAAAACCAGUCACAGAAGUUAAACCAAAAAACUUAAACUCAUUAGCUUGAAUAAAGUACAAAUACAUUAUUAUAAAAAUUUAAUCAUAAAAAUGAGCAUAAAAGUCAAUUUUUGUUAAUCGUUAUGCA